GACGAACGCUGGCGGCGUGCCUAAUACAUGCAAGUAGAACGCUGAAGGAGGAGCUUGCUUCUCUGGAUGAGUUGCGAACGGGUGAGUAACGCGUAGGUAACCUGCCUGGUAGCGGGGGAUAACUAUUGGAAACGAUAGCUAAUACCGCAUAAGAGUAGAUGUUGCAUGACAUUUGCUUAAAAGGUGCAAUUGCAUCACUACCAGAUGGACCUGCGUUGUAUUAGCUAGUUGGUGGGGUAACGGCUCACCAAGGCGACGAUACAUAGCCGACCUGAGAGGGUGAUCGGCCACACUGGGACUGAGACACGGCCCAGACGCCUACGGGAGGCAGCAGUAGGGAAUCUUCGGCAAUGGACGGAAGUCUGACCGAGCAACGCCGCGUGAGUGAAGAAGGUUUUCGGAUCGUAAAGCUCGGUUGUAAGAGAAGAACGAGUGUGAGAGUGGAAAGUUCACACUGUGACGGUAUCUUACCAGAAAGGGACGGCUAACUACGUG
rnacentral:rRNA from 1 species